rnacentral:rRNA from 1 species
AACGAACGCUGGCGGCAGGCUUAACACAUGCAAGUCGAACGCUCGUAGCAAUACGGGAGUGGCGGACGGGUGAGUAACGCGUGGGAACGUGUCCUGAGGUACGGAAUAACUGCGGGAAACUGCAGCUAAUACCGUAUGAGCCCCGCAAGGGGGAAAGAUUUAUCGCCUUGGGAGCGGCCCGCGUCGGAUUAGCUAGUUGGUGGGGUAACGGCCUACCAAGGCUUCGAUCCGUAGCUGGUCUGAGAGGACGAUCAGCCACACUGGGACUGAGACACGGCCCAGACUCCUACGGGAGGCAGCAGUGGGGAAUCUUGCGCAAUGGGGGCAACCCUGACGCAGCCAUGCCGCGUGAAUGAUGAAGGCCUUAGGGUUGUAAAGUUCUUUGCCCGUGACGAUGAUGACGGUAACGGGAGAAUAAGCUCCGGCUAACUUCGUGCCAGCAGCCGCGG